UUGUCCUGCAAAAGAAAAAAAUUCAUGGCAUGAAGUUUCUCAUUUAAAAAUUUUGAAGCAAAAAUAACUUCAGUUGUGCAUUCUUGCCUUAGGAAAGGGAAGGAAAACUGUGAAACAGGUUUGGAAAGAAAAAAUCUCUCUCUGGCCAGAGAAUAGACCUAGCAACACGGUUAUCUGGUAUCUGGCAUCAACUCGUCACCCUCCCUGAGCUGAUGCCAUCGUAUUCGAGGUUUCCUCGCACCAUCUUCAGCACCAGCUCUGCUUCCUGAGUCCCAAGAAGGAAGCCUGGGAGAUGGGAUUGCUAGAAUUCAGUUUCAUCUGCUAGUCUUCUGCCAGUUCUCUGCAGACUGCAAGAAAGAUGAACUUGCUUGUCCCUCUCCUUUGGGUGGGAUCCCAAGCACCAUGGCCACUUGAAGACCUUCAACUUUGGCAUCAACAUGCCCAAGGGCUCUUGCACAGCAUUUAAGGGCCUACAGACCAUGGAGGCUGAAGAGCGGGAGUCCUCCUGAGUCAGAGCAGGGAUAACAAGACUUUGCUGCGGGAAAUGAUUUUGCCCUUGGUGAUGGCCAUUUACCAUGAUUGCAGGUGACUCAGAGUGAGUGGAUGUUUGCACACAAAUUGGAACUCGAAGGAACUUCAGGUUCAAUCUCCAGCCUUUAGGACUUCAGGUAUGGCUAAAGAAUAACCUGUGGAAUCAGACACACCUGGAUUUGAAUGUGGGGAAGGGCCCUCCCACCCCAGCAAGGUGACACCAGUGCUGAAACUGAACGGCAAGAAGGAGCCCGCCAGGGACCUUUCUUGCAAAAGGAAGUCUUUAAGUCAUUUCUUAUACCAAUAAACUUUUCCUUCUGAGGACUUGUGACAUGACCUGAGGUGGAUAUUGCUCCGAAUUCUACAAGGAAUUCGAUUCAACGUUAUGAAGAUCUCUUGUCAUGGGGGUCAAUGAAGACAACCCACAUCCAAAACAAACAGGUGACCUGGAGAGGAAAAACUAACCUGACUGUCAGCACGAAGCCCAGGAUUACUAGUCCAAACAGUGCCUUUACGGCAGGUGGAUGUGAUUUGCCAGACAACUUUUAUUUCCUUGUGCCUUUCCGCAGCGGGCCUGUGGCUUAAGAAGGUGGCACGGCUGCUCUAUUGAGGCUGGGUUUGCAUUCCUGAUGACAUUUUCCAUCACCGACCGCCGGGCUG